AGUAAGUGCCACCGCUCCGCCUUCUCCUUUUCGCAAUGUUGACGCAAUCUAUAAAUAGUGGAACAAAAGGACCAACUUCCUCGCAGCUUUGCUGAAACUGCACAAAAAAGGCAACCGGGGGGGGACACACACGAGCUGGCAACGUCCUGCGAGCGGCUAUUUUGCUUUUGCACCGAGAGAAGAGCUUCCUCCCUCGCCCUCUCUCCUGACACCUAUGGAUGAAAUCCACACUGGUGUCUAACCUGUAAUGAGUGCCAAUCUUCUGAUGUUUAGGAGAACAGGAAGCAGCUCACAUUGUGGCCAGCUCUGAGCUACACGUGUCAAGUGGCAGACCAACCAAGCAUGCUGACCUGCAAGGCAACAGGUUGAAGAGAACAGAAAAUUUCUGAGUCCAUGCUGCAGCUUUUUCUACCCCAGGAGCACAAAUUUGAGUCCCUUCUCUACUCACAGCUGCUAAAUUUCAUUCAAAUUGCAGAAACGUGACUUUGUGACCUCUACCUCUAUAUCAAAUGCAGCUGAAAUUAAGCAGUGGAUUUGAAAGUUAUUAGGAGAUAACACAACCCUGUAAUAUAACUUGUUUUGCUCAGAACCUAGGCUUGAAAACACUGUAGCAUAAUCACUGUGAUAAUAAUGAUUUUUAUGUCACUUACUGUUUUCAUUCCGGAGUUACACCACAAAGUCAGAUACAACAAAACACAAUUGUUACACAGUGAUAGCAUAAAUGAAUGUAGAGACUUUCAAUAAAACUGGAUUCAUUUUGCAAUGUGAACAGGGCCCUGAAUACAGGUUGCUUCAUAAAGGUGAUAAUUUAACAGAAAUACAGUAUUUUUUUUAACUUACCAUGACUAUAACUGACUGCCCUUCAUGGAGAUCCAUGCUUCUCUUCCAACUCCAUACUGUCUUUCCUUAGGCUUAAAAAAAGUUCAAUGAUAGACAGCUCAAUAAAACAGCCACAUCAAGUCUAAUCAGUCUAUUCAGUAUAAUUGUACUUUUGUGUUUGUUUUUUUUUUUUUUCUUGUCAAGUUGGUUGAUUUUUGGUUUUUUAGUUUUUUUUUUUUUUUUUUUUUGGAGAAGCAUAGUGAUUUUUAAAGCAUCACCUUAAAAUCCUGAUCUUACUGCCUGGAUCCUGGUAUCCAAAAUUAGGGAAUAGUUUUUAAUAAUAUGCAAAACCCAGUUCCUUUUCUAGAAAUGGCAUCCACAAUUCUCUGUUUACCUUUUCUAUUGAUAUAGCACUACAUUUUUAACUUGCAUAUUUCUCACUGAAAAGGCAAACUUGAAAUCAGAGGGGUUUAUAUGUUGCUGGAUUCCAGGAUGAAGGAAGGAAAGACAUUGAAGAAGUACAAUGACUUCUCUAAAACUCCAGUAAAAAAAAGAAGAGAGACAAAGAAUAAUCAGUGUGGAAAAGUUAAUGGAAAACUGAACAUUAGAGGAAAGGUUAGCAGGACACGACAGGUAUUAGAAGAGUCAGGGAAGUGAAAGUGAUUCAGCUAAAUGGGGGAUGGAACAAAAGAAACAAAGUUACAUUCUAAGCAGGGUAAUGAAAACAAGCCUUUCAAAAGAGUUUGACAUUGGCCUACCUCUUCUUCUGUCAAAGUGAAAGAAUUACAUCAAUUCAAAAAAUGCCUCAUGAAAACCUUAAAACCAUUUAACUUUAAGCAUUUGGAGUUACUAAACUCUGCUCAAGUAAGCAACUAAAGAAGGGCUUAAAUCUGGAAACCAAUUUACAUCCUAUUGUUAUUUUUCACUAGGUCUGUAGUAUCAAAAACACAUCCAACACUGAGCCUCAGCUCCUUACCCUAUAAACAGACUCACACUUUGGUGCUGGUUGGGAUGCAGCCCAUUGGUUACCAGACAGGCAAAGUCAAUACAAGAUGCAAGGGACUAAUGUGGGUUCAGACUCUUCUCUCCCACAUUCAUGCAAGUAUGUUUACUUAAGUGCACGAUUAACUGAUGAAGAGAAUGCAGAUAGUUAAAUGCUCAAAAUUAAUUCAAGAAUCAGCUCUCUAAAAGAAAACUAAAGAAAAAAUGGCUGAGAAGGAACAAAGGAACUGAUUGUUGAAUCUGUAUUAAAAAUAAAUGACCUCUGGGUUACAUCUCAAUGCACUGUGCCUGAAAACUGCUGCUUCUUUCUGGUUUAAGUAUUAAACCUUGUUUUUAAAACAUGAAAUGGUAAAGAACCUUGGCAGAGGUCAAGCAAGUUUAGUGGUUGAUAACAGUACUAAAGUAAUUCUUAACACAGGGUGUAGCUCAGAUGUUGGCAAAAAGGACUCAGCAUCUCUCUUGGCUAUUUAAACACAUUUGUGCUUACAAACCCAGUUUGGUAAACAGCUGAGACAGGGUAAAUAUUCCAUAUUCCAAGAGGAUAAACUGUGGAAAUCAUAAGCCACUCAUAGGGUUCUGUCCCUUUUACUCCUUACUCUACAAUACAGCUACUAAAGGAAAACAAAAAUUGAUUUGUUGAGAUACCAAAAAUGUCUAGGGCAUCUCUCAGCAUUCUUAGAACUUCUGGUCACUGUGAUCCAUCUCCUGAGCUAUGGAUCAUUCUGUGCACCAUUAUUUUAAACUGUCAUCUACCUAAAUUAUCAGGAGGUCAACAACAACAACAGUUAAGAACUAUAUUCUUACACAAGCAAGCCCCUGCUACCAUCCUUUAUUUAUAUCUCUAAAAGAAAGGAAGCCCCUCAUUUUAAGAUCUAUGCUUAAUAAACCCAUACAUAUAAAUAUCAUUACCAAGUGAUUCUUAUGACUAGAAUUAAAGACCUGAUUAAGGAAAAAGAGAAACGGUUCCUCUAUAUUCAGUCACCUUUUCACAAAACGGCUAAACAAAAUAAUGUUUUGUUCCUCCCAGAAUUAUGAACACUACUAAAAUUUUCUAAAUGUUGUGAAGUUCAGAGUUCAAAACUUCCCAGAAACUGGGAAAAUAGAGAAGUAAAUUAACAUCCUGUAUCUUUCAGUCUUAAAAGAAACAAAUUGUACGCAAAAGAGCAAACAAACUAAUACUAACUAAAAGCACUUUCAGAUCCCCCACUCCUGCAGUCAUUUCAGCAGCAUUCCAUUUAAUUGCAGGCAUUCACAUCUGUAAAAUUUAAACUUCAGUCUUUCAAACAGCUUCAUAUAUCCUGAACUUAACUCUUCUAAGUAGUGCUAUCGAUAAAAGUAUUCAUUUGAACAGAGUUAGGCACAGGACUAAGGCUAAAGAAAGUAAUAAAGAAAUUAACUAAUGAAUUCAGUGUAUCACUAACAAUUAUUUUUGAAGUUAAGGACAGCAAGGAAUAAAGCAAAGCUUGAAAAAUUAACAGCUGAAAUAUGGGGUGUGGAGGAAAAAUUAUGCUAUGGUCCGAGAAAUUACCCCACAAAAACUAACUUCAAUACCUAUUAAAUAAAAGAAUCAGUGCUAAACAGGAAAAAAUAAUAGAGCAUCCCUAAAUUAAAAGUCAUGACGACCAUGCUCUUUUCUCACCAUUUGAUGAGUCUUCUUCAGUUCAAGAUUGAAGUUCAUGGCUGCUGUGGAGAAGAUCACUUGGCCACUGUUCUGCUGUAAUUAAUCCAUAAAUAAAAGAGUGGGCUUCAGUUUUCACAGAUAACAAGACAGAACUUUUCAUAACCAUUAAAUCCACAAAAAUAUUAAAAUGUUUAGAAGUUACAGUUGGACCAUUUAAGCAAAACUUUACCACAGAACCUAAGUUUAAUACCAACUCCUUAUUAAAUCCUCAGGGAUAGGUUUGUUAUUAUGAGUCAGGCCUAUAGAUAUGUAGGAGUCAAUACUAUAAGAUGCUAACAAAACAUAGAAAUCCAACAUUUUGAUGACUACACCACUAGUCUUUAUGCCAUAUUGAGUAUUUCAGUUGUUUAAAAAAAGAUAAAUUGAAGGUUAGCUCUUGAAAAACCAGGAAGUAAAAGAAAAAAAGCUAGUUUUAUUUUUCACGUGGAAGUAUACAGGAAAUCUAAUAAAGCAUGUGUAUGUCCUAAGCCAGCAUGUACUUCUUGCAGUCCUUACAGUCUAUAGAAGUAUCCUUAGACCAGAUUUAUUCUGGCAAAUUCAAAACUCUGUUUUCAUUGUACAACAGUAAAUGCUGUCCACUUCAGUCCUUUCUAGAUUACAACUGCCAUCAUUGCAAGCAGACUAAAAUUGCAAAGCAAUGAAUUCCAAAUCCUGUAUUUGUCAGGGUAAAAUAGAGACUGAAUGGCUACAGCAGAAAGCAAAAUACACAUGAAGGAGGAUGCCCAACUACAGUUACUGGGUUAUUAAACUGAAACUUUAAACUUCAAGUGAUAAGAAACGUACAGGGGAGGCCUGAAGGGAGGCUUAGAUGAACCUAUAACAAGGAUCUAGAAGGCUGGAUGAGCAUCAGGGGCAAGGGAGGGCUCAAAUUAGAAAAAAUAAGUAGGAAAAAAAUUCAAAUUUCCACUGGCUAUAUGUCCAGAUACAGUACAAACACUGAAUACCAAAACAAUAUGUAGGUGUGCAAUUAUUAUAAUCAUGUGGGUGUACCUUAGUGCCCCCCAAUUGGUCUAACUUACCUAGGAACUUUCCAGAUGAAAUAGAAAAACAUGCAAGAGCCCAGGCAAGCCAAAUGAUCUAACUAAAAAGUUACAGAGUAAUGACACAACGCCAGUUUUCAUUACAACAAAUUCCUCUAAUCCUCACAGUUGUAAAAUAAAUCUUAAAAACACAUAGCAAGGUAAUUUGUAAAGUAAUGCAAGCCUGAGCCAGAAGACAGCCUCCAGCUUUCUAACCAUCCCUAGCUAUGAGUUUCUGUGUCAUUUCAGCAGGCAUGUGCCUUGCUUUGGCUUUGCCACCUCUCAACUGGAUCUAAGCAAUCCAGUACGUCCAAGCACAAAGCCUGCUGCAUAUAGGAAACUCCAAGUACAGGAAGCUGGGGGGGGAUGUCAUCUUAGCAAUGUAGGUUAUUAUAAGCCCUUAUUUACACGGAUUUUCUCUAGACUUUUAAUUUACAAAUCUGGGGGCUCAGGAUUCUCCAGGGCAUAAAACCAGGAUUCCUCAAGAAGUGCUUUCUAGGUCUCUAGACUGGAUCCAGUCGGCAACAGCUUCCCACUCCUGACAUAAGAGCACCUAGGCAAGAAGUGGGAAAAAAUGCUGAAAAGUUCUACAGACAGAACUUUCAGUCUAAUGAAUGAAACUGCCCAAGAACUAAGGGCCAUCAGAAAUGUAACUGCACCUUGCUUGAAGAACAAAACAUAUUACUUCAGCCUUACCUCACCAACAUAAAGACAUAAUGUGUAUGGAAGAAAAGGCAGAUACAAUAAACUGAAAACAUUCAAUUGCACAUGCUGCUUCCCUUGGCAACAAAAGAGCAGAUAAUAUGACAAAUGCUGGUCAUGUCACUUCUUACUGUAUGAGGAGAUUCUCUGACAAUUUAAUGGCACUCUCUGAGGAGAAGGACCUGUAAUGCAGGACAGGCACUAUGAGGAGGUGUUCAGAAUGAGAACUGCAUGAAGAAAGGAGUUGAUUAUAGAAACUGCAGCUUAUCUGCAGUUUCUAUAUCUGCUUCCCCAGCAGAUAAGACAUUCACCACUUUGAUGAGUCCAAUUUGUUUGGGAUGGAAAUUUAAUCUAAAAGAUUUAAAUUAUUUUUGGUGAGGCUCAAAAUCCCUUUCUUU